rnacentral:rRNA from 1 species
AUUGAACGCUGGCGGCAGGCCUAACACAUGCAAGUCGAGCGGAUGAAGGGAGCUUGCUCCUGGAUUCAGCGGCGGACGGGUGAGUAAUGCCUAGGAAUCUGCCUGGUAGUGGGGGAUAACGUCCGGAAGCGGGCGCUAAUACCGCAUACGUCCUGAGGGAGAAAGUGGGGGAUCUUCGGACCUCACGCUAUCAGAUGAGCCUAGGUCGGAUUAGCUAGUUGGUGGGGUAAAGGCCUACCAAGGCGACGAUCCGUAACUGGUCUGAGAGGAUGAUCAGUCACACUGGAACUGAGACACGGUCCAGACUCCUACGGGAGGCAGCAGUGGGGAAUAUUGGACAAUGGGCGAAAGCCUGAUCCAGCCAUGCCGCGUGUGUGAAGAAGGUCUUCGGAUUGUAAAGCACUUUAAGUUGGGAGGAGGGGCAGUAAGUUAAUACCUUGCUGUUUUGACGUUACCAACAGAAUAAGCACCGGCUAACUUCGUG